UCAGGCAGACUGUAUGGUAUCAGAUAGCCAGACCCCACAGAGUACAGUCGGUGGCAGUGAGACCAUGGAGGUCAGCGGGGGUCACGGAGGGGAAGAGGUGCAUCCUGGAGCGGUAGAGGAGGGCGACCCGGAGGACCCUGACCUGGACUCCAAGUCUCAUGUGAGGCCAGGUUUGCUGGCCCGCCUUGUCAGUCAGGUGUUUCCAUUCUCCAUGUUCUUCAGAGAAAGCUAAGAUGCUCAGGAACAACGGCUUCUGUAACCUUCUAGAACCUCUGUUGUGAUCUGAAUGUUCAAGUUCUGUUUUAGUUUCAGGCCCAAAUGGUUACCUAUUCCGUAUAUAGUGCCCUACUUAUAAUGGUUGAUGUUAGUUCAUAGUGGAAGGCCCAAAUGGUUACCUAUUCCGUAUAUAGUGCCCUACUUAUAGUGGUUGAUGUUAGUUCAUAGUGGAAGGUUUUGGAGUUUGGUUUUGACACAUUUUGUAAUAAAUGAUCUGA